rnacentral:rRNA from 1 species
UCCUACGGGAGGCAGCAGUGAGGAAUAUUGGUCAAUGGGCGGGAGCCUGAACCAGCCAAGCCGCGUGAGGGAAGAAGGUACAGCGUAUCGUAAACCUCUUUUGUCAGGGAACAAAGGCGGGGACUAGUCCCCGGAUGAGGGUACCUGAAGAAAAAGCAUCGGCUAACUCCGUGCCAGCAGCCGCGGUAAUACGGAGGAUGCGAGCGUUAUCCGGAUUUAUUGGGUUUAAAGGGUGCGCAGGCGGUCUGUUAAGUCAGCGGUCAAAGCCCGGGGCUCAACCCCGGCCCGCCGUUGAAACUGGCAGG